rnacentral:lncRNA from 1 species
UAGUUUCGUACAGUUUAGGUUUGACAUGCGAUCGCGCGUCGACAUCGGACGCUAUGGCACGCACACUCGUGCCUUAUGUGCCACCGAAGCCCCGAAGUGCUCUGGCAUAUACCUUCACAUAUAUGCAAUGGCAAGCCCUUCCGUGUGUUCCAAAGACAAUGCCUACGCCUAGCCACAGCAGCUCCCUCAUACAGACUCUGCAAGCCAAGAGGCCGUGGAGGCAAAUGCAGGUAAGAGGCAAGAAGCAAUAGCACUGGUAUCGACAUUCAUCUAAUUUCUUUCUUUUUCUUUUGUUUAGGCAGCAAGCACACCCCGAACAGCCACCUUGACUGCGGGUGUGUCACCCUAGUUGCCAAGGAAACAUUUGAGGGAAAGCGACAGGCAAUGUGAACAGCCACUUCUCCAUGUAAACGAUACUCUUUCUCUUGGAUGACUCCUACGCCUCGCCACGCCAGCACACUUGUGCACAAAGAUGCCGCGAAGGCACGUGCAGGUCAGAGGCAAGAAGCAGUGGCACUGGUGUCGACAUUCACCCACUUUCUUUUUCUUAC